GUGGAAGGGACCAAAUUCACAUGCCUCUGAGAGAGGACGCUGUCAUUUAACACACUUCUUAGACUGAAUUGUUAACAGUGUUUGCCCAAAGCAAAGGCAGGGACAUGCAUUCUGGGCAGAGGGAAUAGCGUGGACCCAGGCCAGGAAGCAUAAAAAUGCCAGAUGACCAGAAGGGAAUGCAAGAUACCGAUAGCUGGAGAAAAUGAUCUGUAGUAGGAAAUUCUUGGUGCCAAGAAAGAGUUGGAACUUCUAGGUCACAGGGAGCCAUUGAAGGCUUUAAACUAGAAACGACCUAAGUCAAGUUGCAGCAUUGUAGAAGCAGGACUGCCAUCACACACGAACCCAUUCCUGUCCCAUAAUCUGCUGGCUUUUGAUCCUUCUGGCUUCCCAUACUCCCUUACACUUAUUCUGUCAUUCAAAUUCUUGGCUCCUCCUUCCCAUCCAGCCUCCAAGAGUACCACAAGGGUUACUAACCUGUUUAAGUGCCUUUGUUGUUUGUAGCCAUCUUUUUAUAUGUCCCUUCUGCUUCAUCUAGGCAUUGCUGCCCCAUGACAGGCUUUCUUGUUCCUGGAUUUUAAGUUAUCUCUUGGUACUGGACUAUAUGUUCCCUGGGUGGUUUCCUUGAACCAGACAGCAAUGUUUUCCUUAAAGUACAACACAGUAGGGCAGGUGUAAGCCAGAGAAACCAGCAAGUGAAACAAACUGAGUUGGGAAGCAUGGGCAUUUGUGAGGGUCACAGCCUCAGGGCUGGUUUGAUCAAGAGACUUAAGGUCUGUUUCUGCUCUCUUUUAUAUUGGCUCUUCAGGACUCUGGUUAUCAUGCACAACUCAACUCACUAAACAAUUUUCCCCUCCUUUUCUCUAGCCCCUGUGGACCACCAUCCCGGCAGACAUGACUUCUCACAGACCUCAUAUAAGUAUCAUCAUAUAGCAUUUGUCCUACUGUGGCAGGCUUAUGUUACUUAGCACACCGUCCUCAGGGUUCACCAUGAUGUAGCACAUGCCAGCAAAUCUUGGUAGGUCUGAAUGCCAUCCCACUGCACAUGCACACACCGCCUCGUGUUUGUCCACCCAUCUGCUGAUGAGCACUGCCACACACCUGGCUGUGUUGCUACCAAGUUCAACUUUUUCAGGAGAUGUCACCCAUUUCCCACAGUGCCUACCCCACAGUGUUCCUGCCACUUGUGGGCUCAGUCCUGAAGUUUCUUUCUUCUUUGCAAUGUCCCAGGCUUUCCCUCUCCACACUGUGACAUCUGAAGGUUGUUAUUGGCAUUUAGGGGCCUGUUAGGAUCAGACUGGGUCACCUAUCCUCAGUAAAACAAAUACAAAGAAUGGGCCAACAAUACGGAAAAUGAAGAUUAAGGGGUCUAAUAAUUCCCAAGCCCGUUAUCCAGGAUUGAUCCAACCUUUAAGUUUAAAUAUGGAGCAGUUGGGGCAGGGCACGAGAGGUAUGUGUACUUAGCAGUGCUAGUCAGAGUGUGGUCUAGUUGAUCAUUGUGUCAGCCAUGAGUCUACAAGCUGCUUCAGAGAAGUCCUUCUUGCUUGAGGGCAGCAAGCUGGUUCCUGUUAGAUGAUUGCUUCUGUGUCUCAUGGUGUCAGUCUCAGGGUGGAGUGAUGGUCUCUCCAGAGCCUCUGCUGUUUCUGGAAUCUGAGGUGACUUCAGGCUUAGGACAGUGACUGAGGAUCUCCUAUUGCCUCUGGAGGUUUGGAAGGGGGACUCUGAAAACUGACACCAAGAUGCCUCAGUUUAUCUUACUUUUUGCCUCAGACUUGCAGGGGGAUGAGAGGGGUCAGUUGCCACCAGGCUGUAGAUAGACUUAGCAUUCCCACAUACAGAAUAAGUAGGCAACCAACCCCAAGAGCACCGAUACAAAAUGAUGGCUGUGGAGAGAUGCCAGACUAAUAUCUCCUUGUGAGCUGGAGUGCGCUCAACACUUUUCAGCAACACACAGUUUUUAAGUGUUUAUUUCAAAGUCUUAAUAGUAUCAGGUAUAACUCUGUGCAGUAGUUUUGACAAGUGGAUUUGACUUUAUCUUAUUUUGGUGAACGUUAUUGGCCUGUGAAUGCAUCUUUUAGGUUUCACACGCCCUUACACACACAUACGUGUACGGAUACACACACAUGCACACACACAUGCUCACACACUUGUACACAUGUGCACGUUAUCACAUGGUGGGUACACAUGUCCAUAUGCACACACACAAGCACACACAUACACACACACACUGAAGCCCAACACAAAUGAACAGCUUUGAAAUUUCCAUGCAAUAUGAGAAGCUUUCUGUCCU
rnacentral:lncRNA from 1 species